rnacentral:lncRNA from 1 species
UAAAUAUAUUUAUUAAAUAUUAAACUAUAAUAUAAUAUACAUUAAUUAUUUCCACUCCAUGCCACCUCACUCACCCCAUCCUAUCACCUCACUACACCACUUUCCCUUCAUCUCUCCAUCGGAGAUAGCCAUCGGCUCCAGCAUUCACUGUGGAGAUCGCUCAGGCAGCAGCUCUAGCGACUGGUCCGACAACCUUUCCGAAAAACUGCUGCAGCGAACGCUAGGUGAUUGCUCCGGCAAACUGCUCCGGCGACUAUUCCACUAAUUGUUCUGGCUCCGAUGAUAGAAAAAUCUCCAAAAAUUGUGAUGGUCGUAGUGGUGCAUUGUAGUUAUCAGAUUUGCAACCGCGUUAUCUGUUACCAUACCUAUGUUAUAUGUGACUAAUUCACUGACUUAUGUUAUCUGAGAAUCAUCGCGACCAACUUUGCUUUCAGUGUGACUAAUUGUGACCAAAUUUGUAUUCAACGUGACUGUUUGUGACCAAAUCAAUCUCAAGUCACAAUCGGUCACAAUCAAUACAAAAUUGAUCACAAACAGUCACAACCAGAUCUUGAACAGAAAAACCAGAUCUCCAACCACUAUAGCAAAUCUGUUCAAAAAAAAUAAUAAUAACCACAAGUAUUACUAACAUCUUUAACUCAAAUUGAUGACCAUAAAUACUACAUUCACUUCAAAUCCAUAACGAUCAUCACUACCAUAACUUCCACCAUCCCUUCAAAAAACACCAAUCAGCACCACCACACUUCUUUCGUGAAACUCCAGUGAGAGAAGUAGUAGAUGGUCAGAGUCUAGAGGGUGGGUGGGAAAGAAGUCAUAGAUUUGAUUUUUAGGUAAGAGAGUGCCGAACUAAUUUUUGGGAAAAAAAUAGAGUGUGUGGGUUAAAAAUUGAUACAAGAUCUAUGGUAAAUUGAUACGAGAUCCGUAACCAAGUUUGUAUUCAAUGUGAUUGUCUGUGACCAGAUCAAUUUCAAGUCACAAUCGGUCACAAUCAACACAAAAUAGGUUACAAACAGUCACAACCAGAUCUCGAACAGAAAAAACUAGAUCUCCAACCACCACAGCAGAUCUGUUCGAAAAAAUAAUAAUCACCACCAUCACUAAUAUCUUUAACUCAAAUCCACAACAACAAUCAUCAAUAACAUAACUUCCACCAACACCUUCAAAAAACACUAACCAAUUGAUUACUGAAUAUUUCUCAAUAAAAAUUUCCAAGAUUCUUCUUCACCAUGCCGAAAGGGGAGAUGGUUGGGUGGGUGGUGAUAGAGAAAGAGAGAGGGAGAGAGGAUAGGGCGAAGAAAGAGGUGGGAAAAUGAAAAUAUCUUGGGCUUGGAUUUGGAUUUGGGAAUGAAAUGGGGAUGGAAUGGGUUUCAUGUGCCAAAAAGGAAGAUGGUUGGGUGGGUGGUUGUGUAGAGAGAGAGAGAGAAUGAAAAUACUUGGGGCUUGAAUUUGGG